UCAUGCUAACACAGCAGUGAAGACAACACUCUGUUCAACAAGUAGAUCCAUGCCGGCAGUCGCUUGUACUUAUGCACAGCCCCAUUGACUUACGUUAUGUUUCUUCUGAGCACAAGCCUUUACCUGCCUGCAUCAUUUUCAGGAAGAGGUCCUUAAGACUGACACAGGAAUAGUGUCUAGACACCUACCAGAAAGCAGGGUGAAUGAAGAUGCCAUUUACCAUUUCUGAAGGUUGCAGGAGGUGGGUCAAUGCUCUUAAGGAAGGCAAAGUGCAGGCAGAGCUGCCCCCUGGGAACCGGGCACCGGCACUUGGGCUGAGUUCCCUGAAAGAGGGGUUUUCUUGUGUGCCAUUUGUGAACCACUUCUGUUCCAGGAUUGGUAUAUAUAGUGUGAACUAAGCCGGUUGCAUGAGGAAUAUACUCCGAUUCUACAUCACUGAUUUCAGCCCCAACCUCAAACCUUCAUCAUCUGCUACCAUUAGGGUCAGGGAUGAUAGUAAUUGAUUUCUCGGGUUUGUAGCUUUGGGUUAUUGCGAGAUCCCUUGAUGCUGACACACUCAUAGUCACCAGAAUUGGUUUGUGGGUUUUUGUUUUUGUUUUUCAUUUACAUCUGAAGAGGAAGUUCCCUUUUUUUUUUUCAGAUCCAACUUUGUUACUUUACUGCAAUGCACGUGUCAUGGAUUCAAAAUCCCCAGUAGUGUUUGGUGUCCCAAGUCCAAUUUCAAAAUGAAAAUGUUGCAGCUGGGAGCCCUCUGCUCUUAGCUGGAUCACUUUGGUAUAUGUAAUGUGGAGGGGAUUGAAUGCUACAGUGCAGUGAUCUGAAGAUGAAGCCACUACAGGCCUGACACAUAACAAGGUGUUAAUUGGAUGUCAGAUGAACAUGAAUAGGAAGCGCAGAGAGUUGUGAAUUGGGAAUUUCAGGAAUGAUCAGUUCAAGUAUAACCCUCUGUAAGCUGAACUUUAUUUAUUUGAGCUGAAGUCUGUCACAGUAUUGAUGAAUUGGUUAUGUUCAGGGCCUCAUUGUUACAUUCUGAACUUCUAAAUGUUGAAAAUGUACCAACAGGGAAAAUACUUAUUGGACCAAGGUUUCAAUCCAGAAGUAUCAAGGGCUUCAUCCAAUAUCCAUUAAAGUCAAAGAAGAGGUGUCCAUAGAUUUCAAUGGGAAUUGGUUUAAGUCCUUAAUGCCUGAUUUUUUUCCCCCCAGAGCCAUUGGAUCAUGCCAUGCAUUGCUCAUGUGAUUUUUCUGGAUGCUUAUCUAAUGUGAAUCAUCUAGCAUUUCCCAGUUCAUUCAUCACCAAGGAAAAUACUCCAAAAAAGUGAGAUGGGCAAAGACAAAGGAAAAAAUAUGAGAUUAACUAAUGGAGAAAAAGAGAUUGGUUCUCAUACUGCUCUCAUCAUUGUCAUAUCUGAGAACCUUCCUGUAAUGCAUUAAAGGAUGUGACAAACAUCUGCCCCCUGGUAUUUGUUCUCUUAUCUUCUCCUUCAUGGAAGAAAAGUGUGGGAAAGUGGAGUGUCUUGUUUUGGUAGGCAGUUUUUAAGUUUAAAUAUACAUGUUGCCAUGUGUACUAGAGAAGGCAAGAUUAAAGAAACGCACCUGGUGCAUAUUGAACUGUGAUUAUUAGCAGCAAGGUACCAAAGUUUCCAUAUCUUGCAUGCAUGACUCACUUUAUUCUACACAGAAUACUGAACUGGUGUGGGGAAAGUUCAUGUAUUUCUAAUUCCUGCACACCAAACUUACCUCUUUGUGUAUGUGUUUUGUACAGUCCAUUCAUUGAUACUGCCUUACUAAUUGGAUUAGUUUAAUCGUUGCCAGCA